rnacentral:misc_RNA from 1 species
UUUCCGUAGGUGAACCUGCGGAAGGAUCAUUCCCGAAAAACAUACUCAUAAUGGCGAGUGGUUCAAGGAAUGUGUAAAAAUCUUCUUUGCAUCUACUUGUCAUUUUGUGUUGAACCCCUUGUGUGAACAACGUUUUCUAUGUGCAAAAGACAGUCAGUCAACGACAUUUCGUGUCGUUGGCCGACCGUGUCUUGCACAUGAUCAACACCACAUCAUUUACAACGCCAAUCUUUUGGACUCAAUCUAUCUAUUUUGAUGCUUGUUGAAAAACGAUCAUCGAAAAAUUAAUCAUAAACAACUUUUAACAACGGAUCUCUAGGCUCUC